UGGGGAAUAUUGGGCAAUGGGCGCAAGCCUGACCCAGCAACGCCGCGUGAAGGAUGAAGGUCUUCGGAUUGUAAACUUUUGUCUUAUGGGAAGAAAUUUGACGGUACCAUAGGAGGAAGCCACGGCUAACUACGUGCCAGCAGCCGCGGUAAUACGUAGGUGGCGAGCGUUAUCCGGAUUUACUGGGUGUAAAGGGCGUGUAGGCGGGCUAUUAAGUCUGAUGUGAAAUACCGAGGCUUAACUUCGGGGCUGCAUUGGAAACUGAUAGUCUUGAGUGCAGGAGAGGGAAGUGGAAUUCCUAGUGUAGCGGUGAAAUGCGUAGAUAUUAGGAGGAACACCAGUGGCGAAGGCGACUUUCUGGACUGUAACUGACGCUGAGACGCGAAAGCGUGGGGAGCAAACA
rnacentral:rRNA from 1 species